GGGGCGUCUGUCGGAUAUUUUUUUCAAGUGGCCGAUAAAGUUUAAAAGUUUGGGGACGUUAAACAGUUAAUAAUAAUAAAAGUAAAUCAUUCAAUAACAACAAUAUUAGGAUAAUCAAGAGUAUAUUAUAAGGGACAAGUAUCGUCGUCGAUAAUAUUAAAAUGUGUAGGUACCUAGGUACCUAUACAUAAAUCAACUCUAAACGCAUAAUUUAUGUUUCGGUACUUACUGUUUUAUUACAACGCUCUUUAUUUUAUUUUUAUUUUUUCUUCCUGUAACCUAAUGUUGUCAGAAACACGAAUGUUAUUGGAUUGUUUUUCUGCUUCUUGAAAAAAAAAAA